UGCCUAAUCUGCAAGUCGAGCGGACAGAAGGGAGCUUGCUCCCGGAUGUUAGCGGCGGACGGGUGAGUAACACGUGGGUAACCUGCCUGUAAGACUGGGAUAACUCCGGGAAACCGGAGCUAAUACCGGAUAGUUCCUUGAACCGCAUGGUUCAAGGAUGAAAGACGGUUUCGGCUGUCACUUACAGAUGGACCCGCGGCGCAUUAGCUAGUUGGUGAGGUAACGGCUCACCAAGGCGACGAUGCGUAGCCGACCUGAGAGGGUGAUCGGCCACACUGGGACUGAGACACGGCCCAGACUCCUACGGGAGGCAGCAGUAGGGAAUCUUCCGCAAUGGACGAAAGUCUGACGGAGCAACGCCGCGUGAGUGAUGAAGGUUUUCGGAUCGUAAAGCUCUGUUGUUAGGGAAGAACAAGUGCAAGAGUAACUGCUUGCACCUUGACGGUACCUAACCAGAAAGCCACGGCUAACUACAUGCCAGCAGCCGCGGUAA
rnacentral:rRNA from 1 species